AAUUGGUAAACCAAUGGAAGAAAAAGAAGAGAUUUUCACAAUCAAUACAAAAGAUCAACAUGCAAUCGUUAAAUUAAGCUCUGUCAUUUUGUGGCGGAUAAUAAAACCUAACAAUUCUUUCUCUCGCUUUCAAUUGUUUAAAAAAACAAACAAACCUAAAGGAUUCAAAAACAAUCAACCAGAUUUUUCUUGCCCGGUGAAUGCUACUUGGCUACCAAAAAGCGAUAAUUUCUUAAUCUUUCAUUGAAUAUCAAUCUAUUAACAGCUGACUUCAAACUGAAUGUAACCAUUUAAACACUUGCUUUACUUUGAGCCUUUUUUCACUCUUAUUUACCCUUUCAACGAAAACAAACCAAGUUUAAAUGGUCAAAGUGAAAGCAAUCAAUCGCAAUACAUUUGAUGCACUGGGACCAAGGAAUGACCAAAGGAAAGGGAAAAUGUGAAUCAACUAGAUUUUGUCACGAAGAUGAACUAAAUGAGUUGUUUACGCCUCUCAAAUGAUGAUCACCAUGAUGAUCAUGAACAUCUUGAAGCUAUAGUUGUAAGAAAAAUUAGAAGAUGAUGAUCAUCUUGAUGGUGUGGAGGACACUAAAGUAUCUAUUAGAUAAAAGUGGAAGGACUUUUUAUCAAGCAGUAACAAAUGGAUCAAAGUGCAUAAUAAGUCAACUGUGCCAAUAAUUCAGGCCAAGAAAGACCAUGGUUAUCAUAUUGAACUUAUUUUCAUAUCAUUUGACUUUUCUGGUGCAGUCACAUUUUUACUAACAAUCCUACACAAAACAGUCUCUUAAUCUUACUCAAACAGUUGAUUAACUCUUCCAAAGCAAUCAGUGACCGAUAAACUUCAUAUUUGAUCUGACAUUUUUUCCUCGCCACUUUAGUGUUCUCUAUUCAUUGUUUAUUUUUGUGAAUCUUACUGUUAUACUUUAGUCUAAGUCCAUUAUUGCAAGUCCAAUUUAAGUUACUGAAACAAAUUCAUCUCUUUGCCAAAAUAAUGUCCAAUCAAUCUGAUUGAAGAUGAUUGAAUCCUUCUUUUUUCCCUUUACUUUCAUUAGCUUGAUUUUAUAGCCAACACUGACCAUUACUGCCUCCUCCCUCAGCCAUUUCCUUCAAUCUUCAUUUUGAUCAACAUCUAAAAACAAAAAUUAUUGCUAGGUGAAAGUGAUGUUUCCGUGUCUUUAUCUGAUUACUCUUCAUUCAAAUAAUAGUACUUGACCUGACCGUACAGUAUAUAUAGAUAUAUUAUGUGAUAUGUACCAUAUAAUUUUGAUAACAUUAAUCAGCUCAGAACUCUAUCUUUCCCCUGUUUUUCCUCUCUCCCAUUUUAUUGUCUCUGACAGAUAAUUGGCCAAUAAGAGUCAUCUCGUAAUACCUAAUAUUAUGAUAUUUUCUUACCUAAAAAGUCACGUUGAAUCAACUCUUUGUAUGCUAACAGACUGAAUCUAUUUCACCCUGCAAAAGGUCAAAUGGGAAAUAUUUUCAGACUCUGUUGGUCAUCAUCAUCAUAAAGCAACAUUGGAUAAGAUUUUUGUUUCUCAAUCCAUUUUUACAAUCAUCAUCAUCAUCUUUUCUUUACCUUUACUUUCAUCUUAUUUUUCCCUGGAUGGCUCAAAACAAACACCAUAUAAACUAUUAUGCUCCAGAAAACUUGAAAUGAACCUGAUGCUUUGUGGAAAGACAGCAAAUACCGUAAAAAAGGCUAAACUUGCUGGUCAUAAGGUAAGGAAGCAACUUGAAGACAAAAAAAUGUUCAUUCUUAAAGAUGGAUUAGUCCUUGGAGAUUUUAUCUUGCAGAUGAUUUACCCUUCUUGCAGUCUCCCAUUUUCAUCAACAUUAUCAUCAUUCUCCAGCUAUAGCUUUAUGCUAUUAAGACAACUAUAACCUAGCAGCAGCCAUGAACUGUUAAUCUAAUAAUUUAUUUAUCCUUUUUGAUUAAAGGAACGCUUCCUUUUAUGAGAAUUUCUUUCUAAAUUUUGGACCCUUUAAUCAACUUAAUUGUGUAUCUUGAUUAUGAGCUUCAUCUUGAUAUAGACCAUGUUUUCCAUGAUUAAUGAUGACGCCAUUGGAAUUGCCUGCGGACUCUUGAUCAUCAUCACCAUCUUCAUCUAAAGGAACUCCAUUUUCCAACUUUGUUUCACAUUCUCAAUCAUGAACAUAAUCAUCAUCUUCUCUCCCGUUUCAGCAAUCUUGUUAAGGUUGAAGGUCAGAUCGAUGUUACCGGUACAAAUCAAGGCAAAGUGUAACAUGUCAAAAAACUGGUCCUCGUUUCCUUUCUCAUUAGUCACAAACUGAUUGAUGGUCUGUAAAGUAUCGAAUCAUCUUCCUUACCUUUUGGAUGAUUCUCAUUCCAUACCAAAUGCAUGGAAGCUGAGCCAUUCGGAAAGGUUGAUCAUUUUUUAUUUGUACGCCAUUUUAUGUUUAUUUUGUUAUGUUACAGGAAAAAAAGGCUUGAUCUUUUAACCUGUGGGCUUACAAAGUAAAUUGAAGUGUCUACAAAAAUUGUUUGUUAAAGAAGCUGAUUAUUGAUUAAGCCAAGUUAUUUGUCAAUUGAUUCAAUGAUAAACUAAAUCUCUACAAAUGAUAAGCUCAUAAUGUAUGGCUGUUUAAUCCUGAUUAUCUUAAACUCAUUCCUACUUAUGCUAUAAGAUAUACGUAUAAGGUAUAAGAUGGACUUUACUGACUCUUUUAAAUCAACUAAUUCUUUCUGGUUAAAAUCAACUGUUGACUGAUUGUCAUCUCAUCAUUUAAAUCAGUGUUGAAGUGGCACAAUCAGGUGAAAAAUCCCGUCUCCAACCUAAUCUCCUUCAUCAUCCUCAUUAUCAUCUUACUCUACAUCAUCAACCACCACAUCAUAAUCAUUAUACUGCAAGAACCUUUAUCUUCAUCUUUAUACUUAUCUCUUAGAUUCGCAUAAUUUUUGAUUAAGAUAACGUAAGGAUGCAUCUUUCAGCUGGAAACACUCCUUGUUUCAAGGUGAUUUUCACUAAUUGGCCUGAUACCAUGUUGAGUUGACUCCUCAUCCUCCGCCGAGCCGCUUAACCACAGUUUCCUUAACAGUGAAAACUAAACAAAUCAUAGUUAUAAAACCUUAUUAAUAGCUCAGUAAGAAUCUUAUUUUUUCUCAGUUUCUCAGAAAAAAACUAGUAGCUGGACAAAUUAUUUCUUCUCCGAAACUCAGUAUGGUAUAUCUGAUGAUUAUUUCACUAUUUUCACCAUAUACUUGACUCAUUUUCACGGUUGACAAAUUUUCCCACUCUUAUUUCAAUUUUAAUGGGUGAGGUAAGGAGAAAGGUUGAAUUAAAUGUUAGUUUAUUGUUGAUUGAAACAAAAUAUACACAACUCUGUUUUCUUGCUGAAUCAACAAAUCAACAAAACAUACUAAUGAUGUUUACAUUGACAAGUAAACUUUAUAUUUUUAGUUGAAACAUUACCUUUUCCCAUUGUUUUAAUGAAACUUUUCAUCAUCAUCUUAAACUGUUGAAAUUUUGAUCAACUUCAGCUUUUUUCCCCAUUCCUUAUACAGUAUUAUAUCCAAUUUCAUGUUGAAUCUUGUUUGAAAUGAGUAAAGACUUCACUUUCUUUUAGCUUAUUAUUUGGUGUCAACUACAGAUGAUGAAGAUGAUAAUGAUUUUUGAUGACAAUCAUCCAGUUAAGGGUAAAAAAAGAUGAAUCUGUUGAAAUUCAGAGCUCAUUUUAAGCUCAAAUGGUCCAGUUAUUGAAAUAUAUUUCAUUUUAUUUAUUUUAUUUCCACAGACAAUGGUGUUGACUUUUGCUUCAAUGGAUCUUCAAUGGAAAGGAUUUCAAGUUUAAUCAUGGAUCAACUCUUUCAUUGAUGGAUUUUAAAUUUCCAGAUCAGAUUCACUCUUCAAAUUGUUAUUACAAGGAAUCAUUAUCACCAUUGCUAACAACUGUCUCUGCUUCAAGAUUUGAAACAAUUGGAGCCCGACUUAUUAUGGUUUUAACCCAAUUGUAUUGAUUGAAAAUGAAUUCAAUUUAACAAUUGUUGAAACAGCCAAAAAGAUUGCUAAUCAUUUUAUGUGAAUGCAUAAAAUUAUUCAAUACCUUAGGCAUUGAGUGUAAACUAUUUGAGGAAUAAUCAAAUUGUCAAACAAUGAGUUACAACCUUGUUUAAUCAUUUACUUCAAUUUGUAACCAUUUUUGUAGUUUUGUUCAAACGGUUGGGUUAAAGUAUGAUAAUUGUUAAUUUGAUUGAGACAAUGAAUUCAAUGGGAAAAUAGGCAUUUUCAAUCAGCAACAAUCUUAAUAACAUUUCAGCUUGUUUAUCAUGUUGGAAAGCCAAUUAAAUCAACAAAUUCACCUCACUUUGAGGCAAAAUUA